GGAUUUAAUCUCCCACCAGGGAUUAGCAUCUAGCUUAGUUAAAACUUCAAAUAAAAUUGUGGAAUCUAUUUCCAGGAUAAUAGAUAUAAAAUCCCUUGAAACAACAUAAUUCAUUGCUAAAAGAGUAACCAUUGCUUCUCCUGCUAAUGGGAAUGAAGCUCGAAUACGAGAAACCGUGCCAUCCAUAAGUUUUCCCCGAUGAUCUCAAACCAUCACUGCCGCUACUGCUCAAGAUUUGUGAUCGAACCAACUAACAUUUGUAUUGAACUUGAAAAAGUUACGAGGAGGUAGCCUCCAAGAAGUAAAACCCAAAAUAGGAGAUA
rnacentral:misc_RNA from 1 species